rnacentral:rRNA from 1 species
AUUGAACGCUGGCGGCAUGCCUUACACAUGCAAGUCGAACGGUAACGGGCCUUCGGGUGCCGCCGAGUGGCGAACGGGUGAGUAAUACAUCGGAACGUGCCCGAUCGUGGGGGAUAACGAGGCGAAAGCUUUGCUAAUACCGCAUACGAUCUACGGAUGAAAGCAGGGGACCGCAAGGCCUUGCGCGGACGGCGCGGCCGCUGGCAGAUUAGGUAGUUGGUGGGAUAAAAGCUUACCAAGCCGACGAUCUGUAGCUGGUCUGAGAGGAUGAUCAGCCACACUGGGACUGAGACACGGCCCAGACUCCUACGGGAGGCAGCAGUGGGGAAUUUUGGACAAUGGGCGCAAGCCUGAUCCAGCCAUGCCGCGUGCAGGAUGAAGGCCUUCGGGUUGUAAACUGCUUUUGUACGGAACGAAAAGCCUUCUUUUAAUACAGGAGGGUCAUGACGGUACCGUAAGAAUAAGCACCGGCUAACUACGUG